rnacentral:rRNA from 1 species
UUUCCAGACUCCUACGGGAGGCAGCAGUGAGGAAUAUUGGUCAAUGGGCGGAAGCCUGGACCAGCCAAGUCGCGUGAGGGAAUAAGGCCCUACGGGUCGUAAACCUCUUUUGCCGGGGAGCAAGGGCGGGGACGUGUCCCGGCCCGGAGAGUACCCGGAGAAAAAGCAUCGGCUAACUCCGUGCCAGCAGCCGCGGUAAUACGUAGGUGGCAAGCGUUAUCCGGAUUUACUGGGUGUAAAGGGCGUGUAGGCGGGAUGGUAAGUCAGAUGUGAAAACUAUGGGCUCAACCCAUAGCCUGCAUUUGAAACUAUCGUUCUUGAGUGUUGGAGAGGCAGGCGGAAUUCCGUGUGUAGCGGUGAAAUGCGUAGAUAUACGGAGGAACACCAGUGGCGAAGGCGGCCUGCUGGACAAUAACUGACGCUGAGGCGCGAAAGCGUGGGGAGCAAACAGGAUUAGAUACCCGCGUAC